UACGUAGGGGGCAAGCGUUGUCCGGAAUCAUUGGGCGUAAAGCGCGUGUAGGCGGCCCGGUAAGUCCGCUGUGAAAGUCGGGGGCUCAACCCUCGAAUGCCGGUGGAUACUGUCGGGCUAGAGUGCGGGAGAGGCGAGUGGAAUUCCUGGUGUAGCGGUGAAAUGCGCAGAUAUCAGGAGGAACACCGGUGGCGAAGGCGGGUCUCUGGGCCGUAACUGACGCUGAGGAGCGAAAGCGUGGGGAGCGAACAGG
rnacentral:rRNA from 1 species